GGGUCAGUAGGUUGGUCGUGCCACCGGUACGUACUGGUCUCACUGAUUCCUCCUUCCUGAAGAACCGUAAUGCCAUUAAUUUGGUGUUGCGGGGAAACAGGACAGUUACUUUGAAAAAAUUAGAGUGUUUAAAGCAAGCUAACGCUUGAAUACAUUAGCAUGGAAUAAUGGAAUAGGACGAUCGAUCCUAUUUUGUUGGUUUCUAGGAUUGACGUA
rnacentral:rRNA from 1 species